rnacentral:lncRNA from 1 species
UCGGAAUCAGAUGAGUCCAUGAACUGGCAGCAGUCAGGGCAGUGAUGACAUCACAGAAGGAGGAUGGGCCUUAGACAGACAUCACUCUUUAGAAUCCCUGCAACUUUGAGCAAGUUCGUGAAUCUCACUAAGGCUCAGUUUCCUCCAUAAAAUUAAUCAAUAUCAGGGCCUCUGCAUUGGACAACUCCAGAGGGCACCAUUGGGGUUAUACCUUGUGUUUGCCUAACCUUCAUUGCAGUGGGCAGGUGCAUGCUUUCUACAAUGUCCUAAGGUCUAAAGGGGUAGAGUUCUGUGUGUGGCAUUUUAGGCCUGGAAAGGAUGAGAGUCUACAAAACCAGAGAAAUACUGCAGAGCUCCUAAAGUCCUUGGAAUGUCCUAAGUGCAAAUGGUCAAACCCAGGAGGGAAUGGUAUGAACCUCUGGUUUACAGCCAUUGGUAAGAAGCACACAUGACAACCUGGACUUUCCAUCAACAUUUGAAGCGGGAGCAGUCUUGUGGGAUCAAGCUCUUAACCUGUGGGGUCUGCUACUAACUCUGAGAUCCCAGACCACCACCCAUGAUCCCAGGCUGGAGGAAGCAGCAGGCUAGCGGAAUUCAGGACCAAUGAGCCAGGAAAGAGGACCCAAUGCAGAGCUCACAUCCCACCCUCCUUCCCCCAUGACAAAGCACUGGCAAACCCUGCCAAAGAAGAAGCUUGGCUGCAAAGCAGUCUGGAACUGGACCCGGGAUAGAUUCACCAGGAGCUCACCACCACAGGGAAUGCUGCACUUUGACUGGACAGAAUGCAUCCUCCAUGCCCACAGAGCAUGUGCCCAGGAUGAAUCUCACUGUAUCCCAGUUCCUCAUGCUUGGCCCCAAACCUCUUUUUCACAGUAAUAAAGAAAACACACUUUACAAAAAGG